rnacentral:rRNA from 1 species
AAUCGAACCCGGAGAUAGCUGGUUCUCUCCGAAAUAGCUUUAGGGCUAGCCUUGAAAUAGAUUACCGGAGGUAAAGCACUGAAUUGGCUAGGGGCCGAGAGGUUACUGAACCUUAUCAAACUAAGAAUGCCGGAUAAUCGUUUUUCAGGAGUCAGACAGUGGGAGAUAAGUUUCAUUGUCAAAAGGGAAACAGCCCAGACCCACAGCUAAGGUCCCCAAGUAUAGUUAAGUGGAAAAGGAUGUGGAAUUGCACAGACAACCAGGAUGUUGGCUUAGAAGCAGCCACUCAUUAAAAGAGUGCGUAAUAGCUCACUGGUCGAGUGACUCUGCGCCGAAAAUUUAACGGGGCUAAACUAUACACCGAAGCUUGGGAUACAUCUAAUGUAUGGUAGGAGAGCGUUCUGUAUGGGGAGAAGUCGUAGCGAAAGCGGCGGUGGACUAUACAGAAGUGAGAAUGCCGGAAUAAGUAGCGAGAAUUAAGUGAGAAUCUUAAUGGCCGAAAGUCUAAGGUUUUUGGAGGAAGGUUCGUCCGCUCCAAGUAAGUCGGGAGCUAAGGUCAGGCCGAAAGGCGUAGCCGAUGCACAUACGGUUGAUAUUCCGUAACCAUCUGUAAUUUAAGCAAAGGGACACUUCAAAAGGGUGUGACCCGGGCGUUGGUUGACCCGGGCGUAAGGGACCGAAAUUAGAGUAGGGAAGCACACUUAGCUGAAGGCGAGAAAAGCUUUGCGUAUAGAAACAGAUGCCCGUACCGCAAACCGACACAGGUGGACAGGAAGAGAAUUCUAAGGCCAGCGGGAGAAGGGUAGUUAAGGAACUCGGCAAAUUGACUCCGUAACUUCGGAAUAAGGAGUGCUCGAAAGAGCCGCAGAGAAUAGGCCCAGGCGACUGUUUAGCAAAAACACAGGUCUCUGCCAAAUCGAAAGAUGAAGUAUAGGGGCUGACACCUGCCCGGUGCCGGAAGGUUAAGAGGAGGAGUGAGAGCUCCGAAUUGAAGCCCCGGUAAACGGCGGCCGUAACUAUAACGGUCCUAAGGUAGCGAAAUUCCUUGUCGGGUAAGUUCCGACCCGCACGAAUGGUGUAACGAUCUGGGCACUGUCUCAACUACCCACCCGGCGAAAUUGUAGUACCGGUGAAGAUGCCGGUUACCUGCGGCAAGACGGAAAGACCCCAUGGAGCUUUACUGUAGCCUGAUAUUGGGUUUCGGAAAUCUAUGUACAGGAUAGGCGGGAGACUGGGAAACAUGAGCGUCAGCUUGUGUGGAGUCGAUGUUGGGAUACCGCCCUUAGGUUUCUGGAAUUCUAACCUGCGGCCGUGAAUCCGGUCGGGGGACAUUGUCAGGUGGGCAGUUUGACUGGGGCGGUCGCCUCCGAAAAGGUAACGGAGGCGCUCAAAGGUUAGCUCAGCACGGACGGAAACCGUGCCUCUGAGUGUAAACGCAAAAGCUAGCCUAACUGCGAGGGUGACGGCCCGAGCAGUAACGAAAGUUGGAGUUAGUGAUCCGGCGGUAUGUGAAUGGAAAUGCCGUCGCUCAACGGAUAAAAGCUACCCUGGGGAUAACAGGCUGAUCUCCCCCAAGAGUCCACAUCGACGGGGAGGUUUGGCACCUCGAUGUCGGCUCAUCACAUCCUGGGGCUGUAUUCGGUCCCAAGGGUUCGGCUGUUCGCCGAUUAAAGUGGUACGCGAGCUGGGUUCAGAACGUCGCGAGACAGUUCGGUCCCUAUCUGUCGUGGGCGCAGGAUAUUUGAGGAGCUCUGUCCUUAGUACGAGAGGACCGGGAUGGACGUACCUCUGGUGCACCAGUUGUCAUGCCAAUGGCACGGCUGGGCAGCUAUGUACGGAACGGAUAAACGCUGAAAGCAUCUAAGCGUGAAGCCGACUCCAAGAUUAGAUAUCCCAUCGUAUAACGAGUAAGACCCCUUGAAGACUACGAGGUUGAUAGGCUGCGUGUGUAAGUGCCGUGAGGCAUUCAGCUUGGCAGUACUAAUAGGUCGAGGGCUUGACCA